rnacentral:rRNA from 1 species
AUUGAACGCUGGCGGCAGACUUAACACAUGCAAGUCGAGCGGGGUGAUGGUGCUUGCACUAUCACUUAGCGGCGGACGGGUGAGUAAUGCUUAGGAAUCUGCCUAUUAGUGGGGGACAACAUCUCGAAAGGGAUGCUAAUACCGCAUACGUCCUACGGGAGAAGGCAGGGGAUCACUUGUGACCUUGCGCUAAUAGAUGAGCCUAAGUCGGAUUAGCUAGUUGGUGGGGUAAAGGCCUACCAAGGCGACGAUCUGUAGCGGGUCGGAGAGGAUGAUCCGCCAAACUGGGACUGAGACACGGCCCAGACUCCUACGGGAAGCAGCAGUGGGGAAUAUUGGACAAUGGGGGGAACCCUGAUCCAGCCAUGCCGCGUGUGUGAAGAAGGCCUUAUGGUUGUAAAGCACUUUAAGCGAGGAGGAGGCUCUUUUGGUUAAUACCCAAGAUGAGUGGACGUUACUCGCAGAAUAAGCACCGGCUAACUCUGUGCCAGCCGCCGCAGUAA